GCUCCUGGCUCAGUUGGUUAGAGCACAGUGCUAAUAAUGCCAAGGUCACAGGUUCAAUCCCUGUAUGGGACA
rnacentral:tRNA from 1 species